GGAUGAAGCUUCUUUUAAACAAAGCAUUUUUUAAAGUCAGUGAGUUUACCAGGUGUUACCAGUUUUGACCACUGGUGCACAACACACCUGCCAGUACUCUAUGCCAACUGGUACCAAUUUCUGUGUAUUGGUCCCCAAAGAAAAGCUUGGACGUUGCAAUAUGGAUUUCCCAGUGACACUGAUCUUAAAGAUUCAACGAAUCCUGCUGCUUUGGAAGGUACAUUUUCCUGCUACCUUCCAUUGCCCUGUAGUCCAGUUCUGGUGUUCAAGAGCGCAAUGUCGGAGCAUUCAUCUGUGGACAAUAGGUCGGCAUGGACACCAUGACUGGCCUGCAGCCCCAAAUACAACCCACUGUGAUCCACUGUGUGUUAUGACUCACUUCUCUCAGGACCAGCAUCAGUGAACCUUGGUGGCCCGUGACCCUGUUGCAGAUUUAUCUCUGUUCCUUACUUGAACUACUGUUGAUGGAUACUGACAACUGCUGACCGGGGACACUCAAAGGUGCUGCAAAGACCCCCUUAAGACUGAGAAUAAUUUCCAUGGGAGAGAUUCCAAGAAAAAAAGUCGACUGCCAAAAUG